rfam:Acinetobacter sp. NCu2D-2, complete genome.
CCACCCGUGUCACCGGGUGAAUCUAGAAGGCUGAAUAAAGAGCGCCUUCGACAAUGUAACGAGGCACCGCAAGGUGCGGGGUAUCAAUCGUGAGAGGCGUACCCUUCUGGCAGCCAUAGCCGGACAAGGGC